UCCCAAAAUAUAUGUUAAGUGGAAAAGGAUGUGGCGUUGCCCAGACAACUAGGAUGUUGGCUUAGAAGCAGCCAUCAUUUAAAGAGUGCGUAAUAGCUCACUAGUCGAGUGACACUGCGCCGAAAAUGUACCGGGGCUAAACAUAUUACCGAAGCUGUGGAUUGUCCUUUGGACAAUGGUAGGAGAGCGUUCUAAGGGCGUUGAAGCAUGAUCGUAAGGACAUGUGGAGCGCUUAGAAGUGAGAAUGCCGGUGUGAGUAGCGAAAGACGGGUGAGAAUCCCGUCCACCGAUUGACUAAGGUUUCCAGAGGAAGGCUCGUCCGCUCUGGGUUAGUCGGGUCCUAAGCUGAGGCCGACAGGCGUAGGCGAUGGAUAACAGGUUGAUAUUCCUGUACCACCUAUAAUCGUUUUAAUCGAUGGGGGGACGCAGUAGGAUAGGCGAAGCGUGCGAUUGGAUUGCACGUCUAAGCAGUAAGGCUGAGUAUUAGGCAAAUCCGGUACUCGUUAAGGCUGAGCUGUGAUGGGGAGAAGACAUUGUGUCUUCGAGUCGUUGAUUUCACACUGCCGAGAAAAGCCUCUAGAUAGAAAAUAGGUGCCCGUACCGCAAACCGACACAGGUAGUCAAGAUGAGAAUUCUAAGGUGAGCGAGCGAACUCUCGUUAAGGAACUCGGCAAAAUGACCCCGUAACUUCGGGAGAAGGGGUGCUCUUUAGGGUUAACGCCCAGAAGAGCCGCAGUGAAUAGGCCCAAGCGACUGUUUAUCAAAAACACAGGUCUCUGCUAAA
rnacentral:rRNA from 1 species